rnacentral:rRNA from 1 species
UCGCAAGACCUUGCGCUAAAGGAGCGGCCGAUGUCUGAUUAGCUAGUUGGUGGGGUAAAAGCCUACCAAGGCGACGAUCAGUAGUUGGUCUGAGAGGACGACCAACCACACUGGGACUGAGACACGGCCCAGACUCCUACGGGAGGCAGCAGUGGGGAAUUUUGGACAAUGGGCGAAAGCCUGAUCCAGCCAUGCCGCGUGAGUGAAGAAGGCCUUCGGGUUGUAAAGCUCUUUCAGUCGGAAAGAAACGAUUGUGAUUAAUACUCACAAUUAAUAACGGUACCGACAGAAGAAGCACCGGCUAACUACGUGCCAGCAGCCGCGGUAAUACGUAGGGUGCGAGCGUUAAUCGGAAUUACUGGGCGUAAAGGGUGCGCAGGCGGUCUUGUAAGUCAGAUGUGAAAUCCCCGGGCUUAACCUGGGAAUUGCGUUUGAAACUACAAAGCUAGA